rnacentral:ncRNA from 1 species
GUGUUGUAUGCAAGGCGAGAAGUUUGGCACUCCCCUCGGCAAGGGUUGGAGAGGCCCUUGGGCCUGUACGACACAGACAGGUUAAGGCAUUGCUGCCUACUUCGUGGCAUCUAACCACUGUUUUUC